rnacentral:rRNA from 1 species
CCUACGGGAGGCAGCAGUGGGGAAUAUUGCACAAUGGGCGCAAGCCUGAUGCAGCCAUGCCGCGUGUGUGAAGAAGGCCUUCGGGUUGUAAAGCACUUUCAGCGGGGAGGAAGGCGGUGAGGUUAAUAACCUCAUCGAUUGACGUUACCCGCAGAAGAAGCACCGGCUAACUCCGUGCCAGCAGCCGCGGUAAUACGGAGGGUGCAAGCGUUAAUCGGAAUUACUGGGCGUAAAGCGCACGCAGGCGGUCUGUCAAGUCGGAUGUGAAAUCCCCGGGCUCAACCUGGGAACUGCAUUCGAAACUGGCAGGCUAGAGUCUUGUAGAGGGGGGUAGAAUUCCAGGUGUAGCGGUGAAAUGCGUAGAGAUCUGGAGGAAUACCGGUGGCGAAGGCGGCCCCCUGGACAAAGACUGACGCUCAGGUGCGAAAGCGUGGGGAGCAAACAGGAUUAGAUACCCGCGUGUAGUC